rnacentral:rRNA from 1 species
AUUGAACGCUGGCGGCAGGCCUAACACAUGCAAGUCGAGCGGGGUUUUCGGACCUAGCGGCGGACGGGUGAGUAAUGCGUAGGAAGCUACCCGAUAGAGGGGGAUACCAGUUGGAAACGACUGUUAAUACCGCAUAAUGUCUACGGACCAAAGUGUGGGACCUUCGGGCCACAUGCUAUCGGAUGCGCCUACGUGGGAUUAGCUAGUUGGCGGGGUAAUGGCUCACCAAGGCGACGAUCCCUAGCUGGUUUGAGAGGAUGAUCAGCCACACUGGAACUGAGACACGGGCCAGACUCCUACGGGAGGCAGCAGUGGGGAAUAUUGGACAAUGGGCGCAAGCCUGAUCCAGCCAUGCCGCGUGUGUGAAGAAGGCCUUCGGGUUGUAAAGCACUUUCAGUAGGGAGGAAGGGUGUUGUGUUAAUAGCACAGCAUUUUGACGUUACCUACAGAAGAAGCACCGGCUAACUCUGUGCCAGCCGCCGCUGUAAUAC